rnacentral:rRNA from 1 species
UACGGGGGGUGCAAGCGUUAAUCGGAAUUACUGGGCGUAAAGCGUGCGCAGGCGGCUUUGCAAGACAGAUGUGAAAUCCCCGGGCUCAACCUGGGAACUGCAUUUGUGACUGCAAGGCUAGAGUACGGCAGAGGGGGAUGGAAUUCCGCGUGUAGCAGUGAAAUGCGUAGAUAUGCGGAGGAACACCAAUGGCGAAGGCAAUCCCCUGGGCCUGUACUGACGCUCAUGCACGAAAGCGUGGGGAGCAAACAGG